rnacentral:rRNA from 1 species
CUACGGGAUGCUCCAGUGGGGAAUAUUGCACAAUGGAGGAAACUCUGAUGCAGCAACGCCGCGUGGAGGAUGACACUUUUCGGAGCGUAAACUCCUUUUAUAUAGGAAGAAGAUGACGGUACUAUAUGAAUAAGCGCCGGCGUAACUCCGUGCCAGCAGCCGCGGUAAUACGGAGGGCGCAAGCGUUACUCGGAAUCACUGGGCGUAAAGAGCGUGUAGGCGGAUUAAAAAGUCAGAAGUGAAAUCCUAUAGCUUAACUAUAGAACUGCUUCUGAAACUCUUAAUCUAGAAUAUGGGAGAGGUAGAUGGAAUUUCUGGUGUAGGGGUAAAAUCCGUAGAGAUCAGAAGGAAUACCGAUUGCGAAGGCGAUCUACUAGAACAUUAUUGACGCUGAGACGCGAAAGCGUGGGGAGCAAACAGGAUUAGAUACCCUUGUAGUC